rnacentral:rRNA from 1 species
AAGAAUUUAAAGGUCGAACAGACCUAUGGAUCAAGCUGCUACACCUGACCAUAAUCUUAAUCCAACAUCGAGGUCGCAAGCCUUCCUGUAAAUUUGAACUCCGGAGGAAGAUUACG